AAAGGUGGUAGCUCAGUGGUAGAACAUUUGCUUUGGAAGCCAAAGGUUUCAGGUUAAAUUCCUGACACCUCUA